UCUCCGUUGGUGAACCAGCGGAGGGAUCAUUACUGGAAUCGCAAGAUCCCACAACCCCUGUGAACCUACCGAAACGUUGCCUCGGCGGGCGCCCGGCCCUGCGCCGGGCGCCGAGCCCGCCGGCGGGCCCCUACUCUUGUCUCUGCAGUGUGGCUUCUCAGAGUCCCAGAAAACAAGUAAAAACUUUCAACAACGGAUCUCUUGGCUCUA
rnacentral:misc_RNA from 1 species